rnacentral:rRNA from 1 species
UACAGAGGGGCAAGCGUUGCUCGGAAUCACUGGGCGUAAAGGGUGCGUAGGCGGGUCUUUAAGUCAGGGGUGAAAUCCUGGAGCUCAACUCCAGAACUGCCUUUGAUACUGAGGAUCUUGAGUUCGGGAGAGGUGAGUGGAACUGCGAGUGUAGAGGUGAAAUUCGUAGAUAUUCGCAAGAACACCAGUGGCGAAGGCGGCUCACUGGCCCGAUACUGACGCUGAGGCACGAAAGCGUGGGGAGCAACAGG